rnacentral:rRNA from 1 species
AGCCUGAACGCUGGCGGCGUGGCUAAGACAUGCAAGUCGAACGGUGUAGCAAUACACAGUGGCGAACGGGUGAGUAAUGUAUCGCUAACGUACCCUUAUGCCAGGGAUAGCCGGGGGAAACUCCGGGUAAUACCUGAUGAAAUUCCUUUUUCGCAUGGAAAAGGACUCAAAGGAGCAAUCCGCAAAAGGAGCGGGCGAUAUCGUAUCAGCUAGUUGGUGAGGUAACGGCUCACCAAGGCGACGACGCGUAGCCGGGCUGAGAGGUCGGCCGGCCACAUUGGGACUGAGACACUGCCCAGACUCCUACGGGGGCUGCAGUAACGAAUCUUCCGCAAUGCACGCAAGUGUGACGGAGCGACGCCGCGUGUGGGACGAAGUCCUUCGGGAUGUAAACCACUGUCAGGGGUAAGAAAGUUCUGAUCUACCCCAGAGGAAGGCACGGCUAACUCUGCGCCAGCAGCCGC